rnacentral:rRNA from 1 species
AUUGAACGCUGGCGGUAUGCUUAACACAUGCAAGUCGAACGGUAACAGGCCUUCGGGCGCUGACGAGUGGCGGACGGGUGAGUAACGCGUAGGAAUCUGCCUGUUAGUGGGGGACAACGUGGGGAAACUCACGCUAAUACCGCAUACGCCCUACGGGGGAAAGCGGGGGCUCUUCGGACCUCGCGCUAACAGAUGAGCCUGCGUGGGAUUAGCUAGUUGGUGGGGUAAAGGCCCACCAAGGCGACGAUCCGUAGCUGGUUUGAGAGAACGACCAGCCACACCGGAACUGAGACACGGUCCGGACUCCUACGGGAGGCAG